CUAUCUCCCUCCUUCCCCUAAAUCCUGCAUUCAGGACACCUUUUUUUUGGAAUGAUUUGGGGUGCACAAACCUCUGCUCCACCUCAAUCAAUUGAGCAUUGCUCCUUUAGCUGGUUUUAAGAACAUUCCAGCAGCACCAGGAAUUCAGGGAGGAUGCUGUGACAAAGCCCAGCAGAAGGCUUUCAAAAUUCUUCAACAGUAUCAAGCAGCAGGUCCACAUGAAUGCCUGGAAGCACUUCUAUUCCCUAAACCCUUCUUCCUUUGAGGCCUGAACAAAGGCAGAAAAGCGGAUCCAGGAAUAAACACCUGGAGAUGAAACUGCAGAGCGGAGCAAGGGAGUGUUUCAUUCUUGGAGACACAACUGUGGCCACAGAUUCUGCUCCUCUUGAGCUCUGAGCAGUGAAUUUCAACAUUCAAUAUUCAAUAUUCAAUAUUCAAUAUUUGAAAUUUGAUAUUCAAUAUUCAAUCAAAUUUCUGGCUUCCUCCAUGGAGCUGCUGGACAGGGACACCCGGGAAAGCUGCGGAGUUCAUCCUGACCUUUUCUCCUGGUGGUACCAGCGGCUCCCCAGCCGCACUGUUGGUGUUUUAACCCUCUCCCCUCUGCUUCCCUGUGUGUUGCAGACAAGCCACUACCUCAGAGUGCCCCUGGAGGCAUCAUUGGGAUCGUGGGAGGCGUCAUCGCCGCCGUCUUCAUCAUCGGCGUGGCCGUCACCGUCAUCAUCGUCUACAGGCGGCAGCAGAAGAACCGCUCCGACACCGACACCGACCUGA
rnacentral:lncRNA from 1 species